GUAGUGGUACAUGAGGUUUUAGGUUGGUGUGGAUUGCAAGACAGAGAUAGAUGAGCUGAAAUCAUUUACUGUUAAUAAAAGCCUGGGGUAUAAUUAAUUUGCUAAAAUUGCUGAAAACCCUGUUUCGAAGCUGGUGUUGUGAAUGUAAGUUGUGUGAUUUUACUAGGACAGAACCUCAUGGAAGAUACCAGAGAGGGAAAACCCGAGGCAGACGAUGGUGAUGCUGCACUGUCAGGCAAUCAGGAUGGGAAGGAUGCUGCGCAGCAAGAGGUUCCAACCAGUACAGGGUUGCCUGUCUCCAAGAACCAGAUGAAGAAAAUGAUGAAAAUGGAAGACUGGAAGGAAAGAAGAAUGGCCAAAAGGCUGAAGGAAAGGGAGAAGAGAAAGUUGAAGAAGAUUCAGGAGAGAGAAGGAAUGCCGGAGGUUGUCGACGACGGCCAAGUCCGCAUCAAGAAACGACGGAUGAACGACCCUGAGGCUAGUGAUGUCAGGGUGGCCAUCGACUGCACCUACGACCAUCUCAUGAAUGACCUGGAAAUCAAGAAGCUCUGCAAGCAGGUCCAGCGGUGCUACGCUGAGAACCGCAGCCUGACCAACAAGCCGCUGCAGCUCUACAUCUGCGGCUUGGUGGGGAGAUUCCAAGAGAUCAGCGAACAGGUCAUCACUGGCUACAAGAGCUGGGAUGUUCACUGGAAGACGGAUGGACCCGAGGCGACGUUUGGCCGGGACAACAUUGUGUAUCUGUCGUCAGAAUCACCCAACUUACUGACAGAACUGCAGUCAGACAAGGUGUACAUCAUUGGAGGUCUAGUUGAUCACAAUCAUCACAAGGGUCAUUGUUUUGCACUCGCUGAGAAACACGGCUGGUCGCAUGCCCAACUGCCCAUCAGUGACUACGUCAUGCUCAGAGACAGAAAAGUCCUGACGAUUAAUCAUGUUUACGAGAUACUCCUGGCUUUCAUCAAAACAAAAGACUGGAAGGAAGCAUUCCUGAGGGUCCUACCCCAGCGGAAGCUUGCAACUGUCAAGGAUCCCUCAGAGGCCAAAGGUGAAAGUUCAGAUGCCGUGACCUCUGACAAGGUUGAUUUGGUGUCAGGAGAGGCGACAGAGGAGGGCAGUACAAGCUAGCACAGAGUCACCAUGUCAAAUGAAAGCAAUGGGGUAGUUGGUCAAGACAAUGGGAGGUGGUGCAGUUGGGCGGAUUGAGCUGUGAUGUGGCGGGGGAAGGCUGUUAACUAAAGCUUCUUUGUCUUCAGUAUGUUCAGUGUGAUUGGUAAACAGAUGAUGACUGGCAGGAACUCCUUCUACAGAACUUCACCCUCCAUGCAACGCACAGUACCCUCCAUGCAAGGGACAACAGCAUUCUUACCCUCCAUGCAACGCACAGUACCCUCCAUGCAAGGGACAACAGCAUUCUUACCCUCCAUGCAACGCACAGUACCCUCCAUGCAAGGGACAACAGCAUUCUUACCCUCCAUGCAACGCACAGUACCCUCCAUGCAAGGGACAACAGCAUUCUUACCCUCCAUGCAACGCACAGUACCCUCCAUGCAAGGGACAACAGCAUUCUUACCCUCCAUGCAACGCACAGUACCCUCCAUGCAAGGGACAACAGCAUUCUUACCCUCCAUGCAACGCACAGUACCCUCCAUGCAAGGGACAACAGCAUUCUUACCCUCCAUGCAACGCACAGUACCCUCCAUGCAAGGGACAACAGCAUUCUUACCCUCCAUGCAACGCACAGUACCCUCCAUGCAAGGGACAACAGCAUUCUUACACUCCAUGCAACGCACAAUACCCUACAUGCAAGGGACAACAGCGUUCUUACCCUCCAUGCAACGGACAACUGUGUUCCUACCUAUUAAAGUAACUUUGGUCGCAAGAGGGCAGUGAAGUCUAAGAAUUAUGAGGGAUUUAAAUCAUUUUAAUUGGUCUCUGCUAUUAAAUUAAUAUUCGCCAAUUGUAAAUAGAUCCUUUACUCGUGGGACACUUUCUGUAUUAAAAGGCUAAAAAAUUGUGCAAGCUAGAAUUUUUAAUGGUAAAUUGGUUCAUCGUUGGUCUCCAUGAGUUCAACUGGAUCAGUUGAAACUUUAAUGCGCAAUUUUUGAAACGAACGAAAUCGAACAUAGCGAUGUUUUAGCGAAUCUACUUGCAUUUUUGUUUGCGCAUUUUGAAGUAAGGACUUGAGUUCACUUUUCCCUCUGGAAGUUUUCGAAUGCCUCUUGUCAAGACCACAAGGAGAGGAAUACAAGAUUUCACCAUACCAGGUAAGCUAAAAAACAUCUUUGAAUUUAAACUUAAAUUGCCACAAGUUCCCUGUGAAUUAAUUUAGUAAUUAUCAAGUUAUUGUUGUGUGGUUUGGGUGUGAAUAUGAAUUCAAAGUCGACUAAAUGUUUGUUUUCUAACUUAAUUUAGUUUCACAUUAUUCGAUUUUAAUUUUGGGUAAUACAUUUUAAAACUUGCUAGGCCUAUGGCAUGCGUUACAAUCAUCUUGAUUAGUUACAUUUUUUUCCCAAUUUUUGUUUACAUGGCCUAGUUUGUGAUUUUAUUCUUAAAUUAACUUCUUAAUUUACACUUUUGUCUGUUGUCUUUUUCAUAUAAACAUUUGUAUUGUUUAUGUUGUAUACCCAUUAACGUCUCUUUUUAUUUAAGGAAUAUUCGGUUAUGGUAGGCCUAUAUUAAAUUUCCUGUCUGUUUUGAUAUUUUAUACAUUUUUAAAUCUUUAAAUUGCUAGUUUUUGUUUAAUUAAUUUAUAUUUAUAUGCUCAGGACCCUGUGGAAGACCACAUAUGUGAAUGGGCUACCCUGAUAAAAGAUCAGAAAUAAAUAAAUAUUAAUUUUUGGUAAUUUUUUUAUUUAUUUCAGGUUUUCAUGCAGU